rnacentral:rRNA from 1 species
UACACUCCUGCGGGAGGCAGCAGUGGGGAAUAUUGCACAAUGGGCGCAAGCCUGAUGCAGCCAUGCCGCGUGUAUGAAGAAGGCCUUCGGGUUGUAAAGUACUUUCAGCGGGGAGGAAGGCGAUAAGGUUAAUAACCUUGUCGAUUGACGUUACCCGCAGAAGAAGCACCGGCUAACUCCGUGCCAGCAGCCGCGGUAAUACGGAGGGUGCAAGCGUUAAUCGGAAUUACUGGGCGUAAAGCGCACGCAGGCGGUCUGUCAAGUCUGAUGUGAAAUCCCCGGGCUCAACCUGGGAACUGCAUUCGAAACUGGCAGGCUAGAGUCUUGUAGAGGGGGGUAGAAUUCCAGGUGUAGCGGUGAAAUGCGUAGAGAUCUGGAGGAAUACCGGUGGCGAAGGCGGCCCCCUGGACAAAGACUGACGCUCAGGUGCGAAAGCGUGGGGAGCAAACAGGAUUAGAAACCCUGGUAGUCC